UUAAAUUGAAGAGUUUGAUCAUGGCUCAGAUUGAACGCUGGCGGCAGGCUUAACACAUGCAAGUCGAACGGUAACAUGAGUGCUUGCACUUGAUGACGAGUGGCGGACGGGUGAGUAAUGUAUGGGGAUCUGCCAGAUGGAGGGGGACAACAGUUGGAAACGACUGCUAAUACCGCAUAAAGUUGAGAGACCAAAGUACGGUUCCGCGAGGACGUGCGCCAUUUGAUGAACCCAUAUG
rnacentral:rRNA from 1 species